CUGGCCUAACACAUGCAAGUCGAACGAGAAGCUGACUUCUCAUUCCUUCGGGAUGAUGAGGUUAGCAGAAAGUGGCGAACGGGUGAGUAACGCGUGGGUAAUCUACCCUGCAAGUCUGGGGAUAACCCUCCGAAAGGAGGGCUAAUACCGCAUAAUAUCUUCACUCCCAAAAGAAGAGAAGAUUAAAGAUGGCCUCUAUACUAUGCUAUCGCUUCAGGAUGAGCCUGCGUCCUAUUAGUUAGUUGGUGGGGUAAUGGCCUACCAAGACCACAAUGGGUAGCCGGUCUGAGAGGAUGUACGGCCACACUGGGACUGAGAUACGGCCCAGACUCCUACGGGAGGCAGCAGUGGGGAAUAUUGCGCAAUGGGGGAAACCCUGACGCAGCGACGCCGCGUGGAUGAUGAAGGCCCUUGGGUUGUAAAAUCCUGUUCUGGGGGAAGAAAGCUUAAGAGUCCAAUAAACCCUUAAGCCUGACGGUACCCCAAGAGAAAGCUCCGGCUAAUUAUGUGCCAGCAGCCGCGGUAAUACAUAAGGAGCAAGCGUUAUCCGGAAUUAUUGGGCGUAAAGAGCUCGUAGGCGGUCUUAAAAGUCAGGUGUGAAAUUAACAGGCUCAACCUGUUAAGGUCAUCUGAAACUUUAAGACUUGAGGUUAGAAGAGGAAAGUGGAAUUCCCGGU
rnacentral:rRNA from 1 species